AGUGUUAACACCCACUGAAUUCUCAGCCUAAUGAGGAGGGAGGAUAUAUAGGCUCACAUGCUGUCUGCCAAGAUAGGAAGAGACAUGGACCAAAGCCUGAGAUGGGAACAAGGCACGAUUGCUUAGAGUGCUGUGGGAAGCUAAUCUGUCUUAAAAGGAGUAAUGAUAAAAGUUAAGUUCUAGUAGAAAAUUUCUCAAAUGAUUUGAUGACAUACAGGGUAAAUGGGAGUCUCUUGGGGUGUGUAAGACUGAUAACUGACUGGGGUUGUUUGCAAGGGCCCGUUUCCCUUGGAGAUUCCUGCCAGGAAGAGAUAGUGAGGGCUGCACAGAGCAAACAGACCACCAGCACAGAUUGUGAACAGACAGGGCAGCAUGAAUACAGAUAUGCUUUUGUAAUACAAUCCUGUGUCCUGUGGUCAAGACAAGAAGACAAUCCUGUGCCACGGUCUAUCCUGGCAAUCUUUCUAAGAGUUAACAACUUACUGUUACCAGAACUCAGGGUCCCCUUUAAAGGGUUUAGUCUUGCAAAUAAAAUAACUUAAAAACAGACUUUGAAGGCAACUCAAGGGCAAUUUUAUUGGAAU